GUGCCAGCAGCCGCGGUAAUACGAGGGGGGCAAGCGUUGUUCGGAAUUAUUGGGCGUAAAGGGCGCGUAGGCGGUGCGGUAAGUCACCUGUGAAACCUCUAGGCUCAACCUAGAGCCUGCAGGCGAAACUGCCGUGCUCGAGUGCGGGAGAGGUCAGUGGAAUUGCAGGUGUAGCGGUGAAAUGCGUAGAUAUCUGCAGGAACACCCGUGGCGAAAGCGGCGAGCUGGAUCACUACUGACGCUGAAGAACGAAAGCUAGGGGAGCAAACAGGAUUAGAUACCCUGGUAGUCC
rnacentral:rRNA from 1 species